UACGUAGGGUGCGAGCGUUAAUCGGAAUUACUGGGCGUAAAGUGUGCGCAGGCGGCCGCGCAAGUCGAGUGUGAAAGCCCCGGGCUUAACUUGGGAAUUGCGCUCGAAACUACGUGGCUGGAGUAUGGCAGAGGAAGGUGGAAUUCCACGUGUAGCGGUGAAAUGCGUAGAGAUGUGGGGGAACACCGAUGGCGAAGGCAGCCUUCUGGGCCAAUACUGACGCUCAUGCACGAAAGCGUGGGGAGCAAACAGG
rnacentral:rRNA from 1 species